rnacentral:rRNA from 1 species
CUAUGUCGGCGACCGGCGCACCGGGUGCGUAACGCGUAUGCAACCUACCCAUUACAGGGGGAUAACACUGAGAAAUCGGUACUAAUACCCCAUAACAUCCAGGGAGGCAUCUUCUUGGGUUGAAAACUCCGGUGGUAAUGGAUGGGCAUGCGUUGUAUUAGUUAGUUGGUGGGGUAACGGCUCACCAAGACAACGAUACAUAGGGGGACUGAGAGGUUAACCCCCCACAUUGGUACUGAGACACGGACCAAACUCCUACGGGAGGCAGCAG